rnacentral:lncRNA from 1 species
UUAUAUUCUAAACAGUUAACACUACCAUAUCAUCUCUACUAUAGAGACAAUCAAUUAGAUUACUAUAAUUCAAUUUCUUUGGUAGUUCAUAUGAGGAAGUAAGUACUAUCUGCUUUCGCAGAGAUCUAUAUCUUAUUCACGUUCCGUAUGUGAAGCACCUUUUUCUUCUCUCAUAUAUCUUCUACUUCUUAUUAGUCACACUUUUACAACGAUUUGUAAAACAUAGUUACUAAUACGGAAUCAUACAUUCAAGUAGAAGAACCAACUGUUUUGAACUAUUCAAGAACAAUUUACAACACCUUCGAAAGGUGUGUCC